CAAAAGCUGAGUUUAACUUACUUGCUGAUGAUUGUAAUUCACAAGGUUGCAGAUUCUUCUCCUAUGGUUGGUGAACUGUACAAGCCAGGAAUCACUUACUGUACCCACUGGAUGCAACAUUCCCUGGUUUGAGAAGCCAUACAGAUGCUAUCUGGGUAACGGGGAGGCUGUUGGGAUUUCAUCAUUUCAUGAUUUUCAGCAUUUUAUCAAGGGCCCUCUACUUCUGUUACUGUGACAGCUCCCCACUGCCCCAGGCAGAUCGAAUACACUGCUGCCCAGCACAGCACCCCAGCAGAUGACAGUCCCUGCCCUCCCUCCUCUUGUGGAAGAAGAAAUGAG
ensembl:lncRNA